AACGAACGCUGGCGGCAUGCCUAACACAUGCAAGUCGAACGAGACCUUCGGGUCUAGUGGCGCACGGGUGCGUAACGCGUGGGAACCUGCCCUUAGGUUCGGAAUAACUCCCCGAAAGGGGUGCUAAUACCGGAUAAUGUCUUCGGACCAAAGAUUUAUCGCCUUUGGAUGGGCCCGCGUUGGAUUAGCUAGUUGGUAGGGUAAAAGCCUACCAAGGCGACGAUCCAUAGCUGGUCUGAGAGGAUGAUCAGCCACACUGGGACUGAGACACGGCCCAGACUCCUACGGGAGGCAGCAGUGGGGAAUAUUGGACAAUGGGCGAAAGCCUGAUCCAGCAAUGCCGCGUGAGUGAUGAAGGCCUCAGGGUUGUAAAGCUCUUUUACCCGGGAUGAUAAUGACAGUACCGGGGGAAUAAGCUCCGGCUAACUCCGUG
rnacentral:rRNA from 1 species